rnacentral:tRNA from 13 species
ACAAAAAAAUCUUCUUUUUGAAUUGAAGAGCCAAGAAAUUCCAGGGGACUUUAGA